GAACGGGAAAACAGGGGCAACUCUGUGAGUACAGUGGCGUACGGGUGAGUAACACGUGACUACCUACCCUCGAGUGGGGGAUAACCCCGGGAAACCGGGGCUAAUACCGCAUAACAUCGCAAGAUCAAAGGAGCAAUCCGCUUGAGGAGGGGGUCGCGGCUGAUUAGCUAGUUGGUGAGGUAACGGCCCACCAAGGCUAUGAUCGGUAGCCGGCCUGAGAGGGCGCACGGCCACACUGGAACUGAAACACGGUCCAUACUCCUACGGGAGGCAGCAGUGGGGAAUUUUGCGCAAUGGGGGAAACCCUGACGCAGCAACGCCGCGUGGAGGAUGAAGUCCCUUGGGACGUAAACUCCUUUCGACCCGGACGAUAAUGACGGUACGGGUGGAAGAAGCACCGGCUAACUUCGUGCCAGCAGCCGCGGUAAU
rnacentral:rRNA from 1 species